AGCUAGGAAUCUUGGGAAUGGGCGAAAGCCUGACCCAGCAACGCCGCGUGGGCGAUGAAGGCCUUCGGGUCGUAAAGCCCUUUUGCGAGGGAAGAUAAUGACGGUACCUCGCGAAUAAGCCACGGCUAACUACGUGCCAGCAGCCGCGGUAAUACGUAGGUGGCAAGCGUUGUCCGGAUUUACUGGGCGUAAAGGGCGUGCAGGCGGUUUGUUAAGUUCAGGGUGAAAGCUCCCGGCUCAACUGGGAGAGGUCCUUGGAUACUGGCAAACUAGAGGGAUGCAGAGGAAAGUGGAAUUCCCGGUGUAGUGGUGAUAUGCGUAGAUAUCGGGAGGAACACCAGUGGCGAAGGCGGCUUUCUGGGCAUUUCCUGACGCUGAGACGCGAAAGCGUGGGGAGCGAA
rnacentral:rRNA from 1 species